AUUGAACGCUGGCGGCAGGCCUAACACAUGCAAGUCGAGCGAGCGGCGGACGGGUGAGUAAUGUAUGGGGAAAUGCCUGAAGGAGGGGGAUAACUACUGGAAAAGGUAGCUAAUACCGCAUACCAUCAGAUGAACCAAUAUGGGAUUAGCUUGUAGGUGAGGUAACGGCUCACCUAGGCGACGAUCCCUAGCUGGUCUGAGAGGAUGAUCAGCCACACGGGGACUGAGACACGGCCCAGACUCCUACGGGAGGCAGCAGUGGGGAAUAUUGCACAAUGGGCGCAAGCCUGAUUCAGCCAUGCCGCGUGGAUGAAGAAGGCCUUCGGGUUGUAAAGUACGUUCAGUCGGGAGGCGUUACCGGCAGAAGAAGCACCGGCUAACUCCGUGCCAGCAGCCGCGGUAAUUC
rnacentral:rRNA from 1 species